GGCCUCGUAGCUCAGUUGGUAGAGCAUUGGACUAGUAUCCCAAAGGUCGCGGGUUCGAUUCCCACAUUGGUCA
rnacentral:tRNA from 1 species